GAAAAACAUGCUGGGGACACCAGCUAAGGGGUGAGGGCCAGGAUGGAAAGGAAAGGGCCAGGCAGGAAGCCAGAGUCAGGAGACAGCCAGGUCUAGCAGCAUGGGGGAGGAACCGCGUGGGUCUGCACCAGAUAGAAGGCCAGGGCGGCUGCAGAUGCCUCUGUCCUCCUGUGGCAGCCGCUCUCUGGGAAAGGAGUCCUACAGGACCAACUCCUGCUUCCUGAAAGGAGGAACGUGACCAAUUACCAAUGACCCUCAACCCCUGAAACACGGCCCCCUACAUACCCUCCCUAGACACAGCCCGUCUCUUUCCAGUCCAGAGAGAAGGCAGUGGUGCACUUCCCUUACCUUCCUCCAACCGGGAAUCAGCUUCCACCCUCAGCCACGCUGUGGGAGCAGCACACAUGAGGCCACCAUCAGGGAACCUUGUUAAAACCAGCAUCCCUGUUCCUCACCAUCCUUAACAUGCCUGAAGGUGGCUGGGGAUCCAGUCUAAAGGACUCAAACACAACUUUCAAUAUUUGGAAUUUUAUUGCUUAUAACUCAAGAAGUUCAUAAAGUGUUGGUGGAAUGAUUAAGAGAAAUGGCAGAGUGAGAUAAUCUUUUUGCUCAAAUUGUACAAUUCUUUGAUGCACUCCAUCAUUUACUUAGUUUCUAUAUAACAGGCAUAGAACCAAGAUUCACUCAAUUUUAGUAAUUUUAACUUUUACAGGUGGGUGUGUAUGUGAAAGACAAUAUGUAUGAUGUGGUAUACAAAACAGCAAGCAAAAUUGAACAACACUUACAUGCAAACAUAUCUACACAAAAUAGAUAUUUUUAU
rnacentral:lncRNA from 1 species